rnacentral:rRNA from 2 species
UUAGAAGCUUGCUUCUAUGACGUUAGCGGCGGACGCGGUGAGUAACACGUGGGCAACCUGCCUGUAAGACUGGGAUAACUCCGGGAAACCGGAGCUAAUACCGGAUAACAUUUUCUCUUGCAUAAGAGAAAAUUGAAAGAUGGUUUCGGCUAUCACUUACAGAUGGGCCCGCGGUGCAUUAGCUAGUUGGUGAGGUAACGGCUCACCAAGGCAACGAUGCAUAGCCGACCUGAGAGGGUGAUCGGCCACACUGGGACUGAGACACGGCCCAGACUCCUACGGGAGGCAGCAGUAGGGAAUCUUCCGCAAUGGACGAAAGUCUGACGGAGCAACGCCGCGUGAGUGAUGAAGGCUUUCGGGUCGUAAAACUCUGUUGUUAGGGAAGAACAAGUACAAGAGUAACUG